rnacentral:rRNA from 1 species
AUUGAACGCUGGCGGCAUGCCUUACACAUGCAAGUCGAACGGUAACAGGUCUUCGGAUGCUGACGAGUGGCGAACGGGUGAGUAAUACAUCGGAACGAGCCCGAGAGUGGGGGAUAACGAGGCGAAAGCUUUGCUAAUACCGCAUACGAUCUCAGGAUGAAAGCAGGGGACCGCAAGGCCUUGCGCUCACGGAGCGGCCGAUGGCAGAUUAGGUAGUUGGUGGGAUAAAAGCUUACCAAGCCGACGAUCUGUAGCUGGUCUGAGAGGACGACCAGCCACACUGGGACUGAGACACGGCCCAGACUCCUACGGGAGGCAGCAGUGGGGAAUUUUGGACAAUGGGCGCAAGCCUGAUCCAGCCAUGCCGCGUGCAGGAUGAAGGCCUUCGGGUUGUAAACUGCUUUCGUACGGAACGAAAAGACUCUGGUUAAUACCUGGGGUCCAUGACGGUACCGUAAGAAUAAGCACCGGCUAACUACGUGCCAGCAGCCGCCGUAAAAC